GGGGAUUUGAGAGCUAGGGUUUGGAGAGGUGGAAGAUAGACGACUGACAAGGUCUCCCGGUGCGACUGGUAUUUGGGCCUUUUUGCGGGCUGUGGCGUGGGCUGAUCCGUGCAGGGAGUAACGCUUUUGACAUUCUGACUUGGCGAAGGAUAUUUUUCCAACUACAACGUGUUCAGUAGCCAUGGGUUUCUACUUUUUGAGGUGAGCAACAAAUGCGGCUCUUCAAAACUUAUAAGUAGUUCUUUUUCAGGAAAAAAAACUUAUAAUUAGUUAGGCUUGUUUCGGUGCAAUUUUGUCACAUCAUGCUUCGAUGAACAUGAAGAAACAGAUGAUUGUUCUAAAGGCCUUGACUUCAAAAAAAAUUCUAGAUAGAGACUUUUAGUUCUAUCACAAACUUUGUUGUUGGUUUUGUUUUA